rnacentral:rRNA from 1 species
UACGUAGGGCGCAAGCGUUGUCCGGAAUUAUUGGGCUUAAAGCGCGCGUAGGCGGAUGUUUAAGUGUCUUGUGAAAUCCCACGGCUCAACCGUGGAACUGCUGGGCAUACUGGACAUCUCGAGGCACUCAGGGGCGAGCGGAACAAGUGGUGGAGCGGUGAAAUGCGUAGAUAUCACUUGGAACGCCAAUGGUGAAGACAGCUCGCUGGGGGUGUCCUGACGCUGAGGCGCGAAAGCCAGGGGAGCGAACGGG